rnacentral:rRNA from 1 species
UACGGGGGGUGCGAGCGUUGUCCGGAAUCACUGGGCGUAAAGGGCGCGUAGGUGGCCUGGUAAGUCUGUGGUGAAAGCCCGGAGCUCAACUCCGGGUCUGCCGCGGAUACUGCGAGGCUUGAGUGCUGUAGAGGGGGGUAGAAUGCCGGGUGUAGCGGUGGAAUGCGUAGAGAUCCGGCAGAAGACCGGUGGCGAAGGCGGCGAUCUGGGUAGAUACUGACGCUGAGGUGCGAAAGCCAGGGGAGCGAACGGG